rnacentral:tRNA from 1 species
AUUUAUAUAGUUUAAAUAAAACAUUACAUUUUCAUUGUAAAAAUAAAAUAAAUAAUUUUUAUA